AUAGAGACUCAGAGCUGCAUAUCAAUAAGCGGAGGAAAAGAAACUAACAAGGAUUCCCCUUAGUAACGGCGAGUGAAGCGGGAAGAGCUCAAAUUUGAAAUCUUCAAGGGUUUACCUUUACGAAUUGUAGUUUAAAGAAGUGUUUUCUGUUGGAGUUUUGGUAAAAGUUCUUUGGAAUAGGACAUCAUAGAGGGUGAGAAUCCCGUAUUUGACCAGUUACUUUCCAGCUGUGUGAUACACUUUCAAAGAGUCGGAUUGUUUGGGAAUGUCAGUCCAAGAUGAGUGGUAAAUUUCAUCUAAAGCUAAAUAUUGGCGAGAGACCGAUAGCGAACAAGUACCGUGAGGGAAAGAUGAAAAGAACUUUGAAAAGAGAGUUAAACAGUACGUGAAAUUGUCAAAAGGGAAGCGUUUGACACCAGUGUUGUUUUUCCGAAAAUCAAUUAAGAAUGUUUUAUUUUUGAGGAGUUAUGACUUCAUCGGCUUGCUUCCUCUCUUUAUGAAACUUUCUUAAUGCACUUUUCGGUUAACAAGUCAACAUCAAUUUCUUUUGUUGUAAAAGGGUAUGAGGAAGGUGGCUUUCUUUUCGGAGAAAGUGUUUAUAGCCUUGUACCUCUGCAAUCGGAGAGAUUGAGGUCUGCAGCGUAGAUCCUUCGGGGUUAGAUACAUUUGUGCUAAGUUAUAGCUUUUCAUAGACAACUUGUUGACUAUGAUUUAGUCUUGUAGCUUACUCGCUGAUGCUAUUUUACCUACGCUUAGGAUGUUGACGAGACUGUCGAUCUC
rnacentral:rRNA from 1 species